UACGGGGGGGGGCAAGCGUUGUUCGGAAUUACUGGGCGUAAAGGGCUCGUAGGUGGUCAACUAAGUCGGACGUGAAAUCCCCAGGCUUAACCUGGGAACUGCAUUCGAGACUGCAUUGCUAGAGUAUGGGAGAGGGAAGUGGAAUUUCCGGUGUAGCGGUGAAAUGCGUAGAUAUCGGAAGGAACAUCAAGUGGCGAAAGCGACUUCCUGGACCAAUACUGACGCUCAUGAUGCGGAAAGCGUGGGGAGCA
rnacentral:rRNA from 1 species